rnacentral:rRNA from 1 species
UACGGAGGAUCCAAGCGUUAUCCGGAUUUAUUGGGUUUAAAGGGUGCGUAGGCGGACCCUUAAGUCAGUGGUGAAAGUUUGCAGCUCAACUGUAAAAUUGCCAUUGAAACUGAGGGUCUUGAGUGUAAAUGAGGUAGGCGGAAUGUGUUGUGUAGCGGUGAAAUGCUUAGAUAUAACACAGAACACCGAUUGCGAAGGCAGCUUACUGGGAUACAACUGACGCUGAUGCACGAAAGCGUGGGGAUCAAACAGG